UACGUAUGGGGCGAGCGUUGUCCGGAUUCAUUGGGCGUAAAGAGCUCGUAGGCGGCUUGGCAAGUCGGAUGUGAAAACUCCAGGCUCAACCUGGAGCCGCCAUUCGAUACUGCUAUGGCUAGAGUCCGGUAGGGGAGUGUGGAAUUCCCGGUGUAGCGGUGAAAUGCGCAGAUAUCGGGAGGAACACCGAUGGCGAAGGCAGCACUCUGGGCCGGUACUGACGCUGAGGAGCGAAAGCGUGGGGAGCGAACAGG
rnacentral:rRNA from 1 species